rnacentral:rRNA from 1 species
ACGGGAGGCAGCAGUGGGGAAUCUUCCGCAAUGGGCGAAAGCCUGACGGAGCAACGCCGCGUGAGUGAAGAAGGCCUUCGGGUCGUAAAGCUCUGUCUUCAGGGAAGAACAUUAGUGGUGUGAAUAAUGCCGGUAACUGACGGUACCUGAGGAGGAAGCUCCGGCUAACUACGUGCCAGCAGCCGCGGUAAUACGUAGGGAGCGAGCGUUGUCCGGAAUUACUGGGCGUAAAGGGCGCGUAGGCGGAGGUUUAAGCAGGGUGUGAAAACUAUGGGCUCAACCCAUAGCCUGCACUUUGAACUGGACCCCUUGAGGGCAGGAGAGGAAAGUGGAAUUCCUAGUGUAGCGGUGAAAUGCGUAGAUAUUAGGAGGAACACCAGUGGCGAAGGCGACUUUCUGGACUGUACCUGACGCUGAGGCGCGAAAGCGUGGGGAGCAAACAGGAUUAGAUACCCUGGUA